rnacentral:tRNA from 1 species
AAUGAAGUGCCUGAAUAAAAGGAUUAUUUUGAUAGAAUAAAAAAUGUAAAAAAUCUUACCUUCAUUA